rnacentral:rRNA from 1 species
AACAGGAUUAGAUACCCUGGUAGCCCACGCCGUAAACGAUGUCUACUAGUCGUUGGGUCCCUUGAGGACUUAGUGACGCAGCUAACGCAAUAAGUAGACCGCCUGGGGAGUACGGCCGCAAGGUUAAAACUCAAAUGAAUUGACGGGGGCCCGCACAAGCGGUGGAGCAUGUGGUUUAAUUCGAUGCAACGCGAAGAACCUUACCUGGUCUUGACAUAUCUAGAAUCCUGCAGAGAUGCGGGAGUGCCUUCGGGAAUUAGAAUACAGGUGCUGCAUGGCUGUCGUCAGCUCGUGUCGUGAGAUGUUGGGUUAAGUCCCGCAACGAGCGCAACCCUUGUCCUUAGUUACCAGCGGGUUAAGCCGGGAACUCUAAGGAUACUGCCAGUGACAAACUGGAGGAAGGCGGGGACGACGUCAAGUCAUCAUGGCCCUUACGACCAGGGCUACACACGUGCUACAAUGGUAGGUACAGAGGGCAGCUACACAGCGAUGUGAUGCGAAUCUCAAAAAGCCUAUCGUAGUCCAGAUUGGAGUCUGCAACUCGACUCCAUGAAGUAGGAAUCGCUAGUAAUCGCGGAUCAGAAUGCCGCGGUGAAUACGUUCCCGGGCCUUGUACACACCGCCCGUCACACCAUGGGAGUUGAUUGCACCAGAAGUGGAUAGCCUAACCGUAAGGAAGGCGUUCACCACGGUGUGGUUGAUGACUGGGGUGAAGUCGUAACAAGGUAACC